CUGCAGCCAAUUAAGCCAACAGUCCUCCUUUCCCCAGGUGGGGCUGGUGUGCAAUGGCUGCCAGCAACAGCCUCCGUGGUAGCAGAUGCAACCUGUCGCUGGCACAGUUUGCCUUAAACCUUGGAGACAGUC
rnacentral:snoRNA from 1 species